rnacentral:rRNA from 1 species
GAUGAACGCUGGCGGCGUGCCUAAUACAUGCAAGUCGAGCGACCAGACGAGGAGCUUGCUGCCCUGACGUUAGCGGCGGACGGGUGAGUAACCCGUGGAUAACCUACCUAUAAGACUGGGAUAACUUCGGGAAACCGGAGCUAAUACCGGAUAAUAUAUUGAACAGCAUGGUUCGAUAGUGAACGAGGGUUUUGCUGUGCCUUAUAGAUGGAUCCACGCCGCAUUAGCUAGUUGGUAAGGUAACGGCUUACCAAGGCAACGAUGCGUAGCCGACCUGAGAGGGUGAUCAGCCACACUGGGACUGAGACACGGUCCAGACUCCUACGGGAGGCAGCAGUGGGGAAUCUUCCGCAAUGGGGGAAAGCCUGACGCAGCAACGCCGCGUGAGUGAUGAAGGUCUUCGGAUCGUAAAACUCUGUUAUUAGGGAAGAACAAAUCUGUAAUAAACUAUGCACGGCUUGACGGUACCGGAACAAAAAGCCACGGCUAACUACGUG